GGGUUGUAACUUCUUUUAUACGGGAAUAGAGUGAGGCACGUGUGCCUUUUUGUAUGUACCGUAUGAAUAAGGAUCGGCUAACUCCGUGCCAGCAGCCGCGGUAAUACGGAGGAUCCGAGCGUUAUCCGGAUUUAUUGGGUUUAAAGGGAGCGUAGGCGGACGCUUAAGUCAGUUGUGAAAGUUUGCGGCUCAACCGUAAAAUUGCAGUUGAUACUGGGUGUCUUGAGUACAGUAGAGGCAGGCGGAAUUCGUGGUGUAGCGGUGAAAUGCUUAGAUAUCACGAAGAACUCCGAUUGCGAAGGCAGCUUGCUGGACUGUAACUGACGCUGAUGCUCGAAAGUGUGGGUAUCAAACAGGAUUAGAUACCCUGGUAGUCCACACAGUAAGCGAUGAAUACUCGCUGUUUGCGAUAUACAGUAAGCGGCCAAGCGAAAGCGUUAAGUAUUCCACCUGGGGAGUA
rnacentral:rRNA from 1 species